rnacentral:lncRNA from 13 species
UUGGUUUCGUAAACACACACGUUCCAUUCCCUGCACUGACAAAUCAGCCUAUACUAUGAGCUGUUUUCUACGCAGAGCUCAGAUAUUUUUAAAUUCAACAUCAUAUGGAAUCUGCUUAAGGUAUACAUGCUUACUUCCUGGAGUGACUUCCUACCCAAGGCCUGCUGGAUAUUAAUUCUGUACAAUUUUCUGCCUCCUGUGCAAGAAUGUAAACUUUGGGAAGGCAAGAGGUUUCAUCUGCUUUGUUAACAGUUCUUCCUUAGCACCUAGAGCAGAGCCUGGCAUUCACAGAAUAGAUGCAGGGUAAGUAUUUAUCCAGUGAAUGAAUGAAUGCCUGUGAUCAAACAAAUGGAGGCAGAAUAAUUCAGUUAGUCAUAGUAAUAUUUUAAAGAUAUAAAUGUGAUCAUGCACUCUUUGGUGACUUGCCAUUGUACUUAGGGUAGAAUAACCAAUCCUCAUCCCAUGCCUAAAACAUGAAUAGCUCUGUGUUAAUUUUUCUUAACACUGAGUUCUCCCACUAAGAGGGUUUUUCCUUUUACUCUGCCUCUUGACGUCUGUUUGCUUCACUUUCUCAGAGUGGUCGUCCCUGAUUACCUCCCAUUUGAAUUAUGUUUUUGUAUUCUUACUUGUUCAGUUUCUCUAGGUUUCCUGUUCUAUCAUUUCACAUGAGUUAUGAAUAUAUAUAUAUAUAUGAUUAUUUCUUUAAUGCUUGUUUUCCCUC